CCGAGAGGACAGAAUAGUUCAGUGACUCACAUAGCUCAGAUUUCAAAAGUGUGUUUCCUAAUGGAAUUCACCUUUAGUCGUCUGGAGCUGGUCAGCUAAGUACCUGGUAAAGGAAUGAACCACAGCAAAAGGAAGCAUCAAAGAAAGAUGUGAAGAAUGGUCUACAGAGAGCUUGGUGGACCAGCAUGUGAAGGAUAAAAAGUAAUCGCCUUCAUUCCAAAACAAUGUAUUAAGUACUCAGAAUCAGGAGGGGCUAGCAGAGAUGUAAGACACGGCAUUUGUUCUUAAGAAGCUCGCAGUGGUAAAGGUGGAACACACGUGCGGGCACAUAUUUCUGCUACAAGGUGACAAAAGAACUGUGACUGAAGGGACACUGGUGGUGAGAUGUGGUCAGAGCAGUAACAGCCACCUGAAAGCUGGAUAUUUGUAACUUACAGCCUCAACAUAUGUUAACAUUCAAGAGUAAUUGUCCUACUAUAUUUAGUAUUUACUGGCCUGACCCUUAAUUAACAAUUCCAUCCAAUCUGGAGAACUACAAAAUUGUGAGGUAUAGAAAACUUGGACGGAGUUUUGACAAGAACACUGAGAAAUGUUUGAAUUCAAUAGAGAUGACCCUGGGAGCCUUUGAGAGACAAUGGCCAAGGAAACAGAGCAGCUGGAUACUGGUACUUUCAAGCACCUCAUAGGAAGGUGUCUUCCUCUGUACAGAAGGGCCACAGUCAUUCGCCCUUCCAGAGCAGCUGGAGGACAGUCUGAAUUGAACACUUGCUUCAAGAAAGGUUUUCCUGUU